CCCGCCAAGCCUCUCAUUGAAGCUCAAAUGUGCGGGU
rnacentral:sRNA from 12 species